rnacentral:rRNA from 1 species
UACGUAGGGGGCAAGCGUUGUCCGGAAUCAUUGGGCGUAAAGAGCGUGUAGGCGGCUUGGUAAGUCCGCUGUGAAAGUCCAGGGCUCAACCCUGGAAUGCCGGUGGAAACUGUCAAGCUUGAGUCCGGAAGAGGCGAGUGGAAUUCCUGGUGUAGCGGUGAAAUGCGCAGAUAUCAGGAGGAACACCAAUGGCGAAGGCAGCGCGCUGGGACGGUACUGACGCUGAGACACGAAAGCGUGGGGAGCAAACAGG